ACGCUGGCGGCGUGCUUAACACAUGCAAGUCGAACGGAGCGAAUGAAAGCUUGCUUUUAUGAGCUUAGUGGCAAACGGGUGAGUAACACGUAGACAACCUGCCGACAGGAUGGGGACAACAUUCCGAAAGGAAUGCUAAUACCGAAUGAAGUCAGAGGAGGGCAUCCUCUUCUGAUGAAAGAUGGCCUCUAUUUAUAAGCUAUCACCUGUUGAUGGGUCUGCGUCUGAUUAGCUAGUUGGUGAGGUAACGGCUCACCAAGGCGACGAUCAGUAGCCGGUCUGAGAGGAUGAACGGCCACAUUGGGACUGAGACACGGCCCAGACUCCUACGGGAGGCAGCAGUGGGGAAUCUUCCGCAAUGGGCGCAAGCCUGACGGAGCAACGCCGCGUGAGUGAAGAAGGUCUUCGGAUCGUAAAGCUCUGUUGACGGGGACGAACGUGCGGGGUGCGAAUAGCGCUUUGUAAUGACGGUACCUGUCGAGGAAGCCACGGCUAGCUACGCGCCAGCAGCCGCGGUAAUACGUAGGUGGCGAGCGUUGUCCGGAAUCAUUGGGCGUAAAGGGAGCGCAGGCGGGCCGGUAAGUCUUACUUAAAAGUGCGGGGCUCAACCCCGUGAUGGGAGAGAAACUAUCGGUCUUGAGUACAGGAGAGGAAAGCGGAAUUCCCAGUGUAGCGGUGAAAUGCGUAGAUAUUGGGAAGAACACCAGUGGCGAAGGCGGCUUUCUGGACUGCAACUGACGCUGAGGCUCGAAAGCCAGGGGAGCGAACGGGAUUAGAUACCCCGGUAGUCCUGGCUGUAAACGAUGGAUACUAGGUGUGGGAGGUAUCGACCCCUACCGUGCCGGAGUUAACGCAAUAAGUAUCCCGCCUGGGGAGUACGGCCGCAAGGCUGAAACUCAAAGGAAUUGACGGGGACCCGC
rnacentral:rRNA from 1 species